AUGAGCCCACAUGAGUUCUGAUUUCUGCCAACUUGGCAAAACUUAGUGACAAUAACAAUUAAUGGAAUCAAAGACCACCACUUUCACUUUUUUGGUUGGGAUGUACAGAUUAGGGCACACAGAAGACUAUUGCAUUGAGACUAUUGAGAUCACCCCAUUUUUAUCACAAAACAGAAUAAAUCAGUGAAUGAAAAUGUGAAUCCCUUAGUAAAUCUAGCAUGUGACACUCAGCAAAAUGAAACAUUGCUUCUACUUAUAUAACUUAUUGUGUCGAACUGUGAUUUGAAUCCAGUUACAUGAUGAUGUGCCAAUAGCCAGUAGAAUAUUUAAAUAGAUAAUCAGGACAUAAGGCAAAAUAUAACCAUAUUUAAAACAAAGUUUGUCAGUUCCCUCCUGAGUAUAAAAGGCCAUGUGACUGUCUUACAUCCUGAGGGAGGAAAUUACAGUAUAUGUGCCUGGUAGAGGAGACAGCACCCACUAAUCCCUAUGACAUGAUGCCUUGUACUGCUCCACUCUUUCUAGCUUUAGCUUCUGUCUUCGCCAGGGGUUAUGGGCAAACUGUCCAACAACCUCUCAGCCAGCAGUCAGUGCUUCAGGGGAUGGAAGUACAGCUGAACUGCACAUACUCCAGUGCUGACUUUCUUUUCUGGUAUGUUCAGUAUCCCGGCCAAGCUCCAGAGAUGCUCCUAAGCAGUUUACUUAAUGAAGAAAAAAAAGGAUUUUCAGCUGAGCACAAGAAAAGUGAAACAUCUUUCCAUCUGAAAAAAGACAAAGCUGAACUGCAAGACUCCGGGGUGUAUUUCUGUGCCGCCAGUGACACAGUGACUCAGGGACAGAGCCCACCUGUCACAUAACUCUGAGCUCAUCUCCUGUACUGUUCUGCUGCUUUGUUAUAGUAACUUUAGUUAAACCAUUGUGUGUGCAUUCCGUUUCAUCUGUAAUGUAUAGUUUUACUUUAAAGGGGUGGUUCACCUUUAAGUUAACUUUUAGUAUGUUAUAGAAUGACUAAUU